CCUACGGGUGGCAGCAGUGGGGGAUAUUGCACAAUGGGCGAAAGCCUGAUGCAGCGACGCCGCGUGAGGGAAGACGGUCUUCGGAUUGUAAACCUCUGUCUGUGGGGAAGAAAGCAGACGGUACCAAAAGAGGAAGCGCCGGCGAACUACGUGCCAGCAGCCGCGGUAAUACGGCGGGAGCGAGCGUGGUCCGGAAUUACUGGGUGUAAAGGGAGCGUAGGCGGGCGUGUAAGUUGAAUGUCUAAUCCACCGGCUCAACCGGUGAUCGCGUUCAAAACUGCAGGUCUUGAGUGAAGGAGAGGCAGGCGGAAUUCCUAUUGUAGCGGUGAAAUGCGUCGAUAUUAGGAGGAACCCCAGUGGCGAAGGCGGCCUGCUGGGCUUUACCUGACGCUGAGGCUCGAAAGCGUGGGGAGCAAACAGGAUUAGAUACCCGAGUAGUC
rnacentral:rRNA from 1 species